rnacentral:lncRNA from 1 species
CUGAUGUUUCUGUGGCUUUAAUGUGGUUCUCCUAUCUAUCAUCAAUGGAAAGUUACUGGGAAAUUUCUUUUUUAGAAUGAUCUUUUUUGUGGCGCGAAAUAAUUUCGGAAUUUUUUUAAUCAUCGCAGCCAUGGGCGAUUUAUGUUUCUUUUACUUGAAUAAUUUUUUUAAAAAAAAAUCCGUGGUUUAGAACAUUGAAAUCCAAAUAUACUCCAACAUUGAAUCCCACUCAUUAAACAACCUCCUGCAAAUAUUUUUAAUAAAUGUAGAGUGCACAAGAGCCACGUGGAGCAUUAUCAUUGUUGGGUUUUAUUUUCGUCAUUUUAUGCCGGGGAAAAUUAUUUUUUUCAUGAAAUUAAUGACCAAUGGUUGAAGUUGAUGUCCAUAGGAGGCGAAUUAUCCUUAAAUCGGCUCUCCAAGUGCCCUGGUAAUGCUUAGUGCACCUGUGUUGAAUGAUUGCAUUAAUUUUCUUCUAAUAUUGCUCAAUUUAAUUGUGGAACUUAAUUGUGCAGCUGGUAGAGGUUCUGCUUGUUGAAGGGGCUUCAACGAAAGGCCAAGUAUUAGUAGUAAUUUGGCAUUGAAUCUGCAAAAAACAUUACAUGUGAUUUUAAUUUCUUAACUUGAAAUUAAUUGGGCUUCAAUGGAAGUGGGUUGAAGCAGCAUUGCAACCUGUGUUUACUCCUGGUGUAUUUUUUAUGUAUUUUUAAAUUAUGAAUAUAAUUCUUCACAUCAAUCGUUGAUGAUCAGAUUCCUAGUACACCGUUUCUCACAUAUUUUUUAUUUCAGGUGAGAAAAUUUUCGAAGAAAUGUUAAAUACUCAGUGCUACUAUCAACUCACAUUCUCUUUUUUUAGUAAAUAUUUUUCUUCCUUUUUUUAAUCAUUUGAUUCAUCUUUCCCUCAUCAUCAUCCCACCAUAUAUUUUUAUCCACUGAUCUCUCCCUAAUUCUCCUCCAUA